ensembl:lncRNA
AGUGACAUUGACCAGCAGUACUUAAACUAUCUAUUCAGUGUGGUGUUCCUGGCAUUGGCAUCUCACCCCACAGGUGAUCUCCUCAGCGUCCUGGACUUCCCAUUCCUGUCUUUCUACAGAUUCCACGGCAGCUGCUGUGCCAGUGGAUUUUUGGGAUUCUUUCUCAUGUUCAGCACAGUGAAGCUAAAAAGCCUGAUGGCCCCAGGGCAGUGUGCGGCCUGGAUUUUCUGUGCUAAGGUGAUCACGGCUGCUUUAUCGAUAUUGCUGUUUGAUACCAUCCUGACCAGGGGCACCGUGGGAUGCCUCCUGCUGGGUGGACUCGGAGAGGCCUUGCUGGUGUUUUCAGAGCAGAGAGGCUCCUGAACACGGAAGAGGACUCCUCGGCUGCAGCUGGAGGACACAGCCCUGGGCUUCGGAGUGCCCCAUCGGGGCAGUAGAAAGAAGAAAAGCAAGGAUGGUGAGGCCCUGCUGCUCACUGCGUCAAGAACUCUUUCUGGGCGUCUCUGGGCUACUGCAGAGACUGGACUGUGUUGAGAGGCUCCCCCAGUCCUGCUGCCCUUGCUGCUCCCAGUUGUGCAGAAACAGAUGCAGGCUUUCGCCCGCCUGGGGAUGGCCCCACCCACCCCGAUUACUGGCCAGGCCUUCGCCCAACAAGCUACCUGGUAGUGAGCCCAAAGGUAUUGUGUUGCAUUUUGGGUUUUGGUUUGGGACUUUAUGUCCUUGGAGACUCCUCUGGGGCCGUCCUUUUCUUGCUGUCAUGCUGGCUUGGCUAGAACCCCCACACUCACCCCCUUAGGGGUACAGAGAGAAUUCCUCAAGGGGGCUUCCACUGGGGGGUAGCGGGGGUGGGGGUAAAUGGGCGUAAAUGGGAGUUCUGGGCCAAGUAAGAUGUUGGCAUGGACUGUUUCUCCUGAGUGAGUGCUGGAGCCGUUUUGUGGUUGUGUGUUGGGUCGGAUUGUGCACACCCUUUUUUGCCUACCAUGAGGUUGACUUGGUACUCAUGAUUGCCAGAGGGAAUAGGAUUAGUAAGUUCUGAUGAAUGAAACAGACACAAAUAUGUAAACAUACACAUAUGUACAGUCAUAAUCCACUCAAUCCCCUGCUGUCUCAGGGGAGGUUUCAAAUCAUGGAACACUGAAACAUGUUUUUUCAGGCCAGAUUAAAAAUUGGAUCAAAACUCUACACUUCGCCUUGAUGGGAGUCAAGAGAAAUGAAUUGGCACGAAAUGGUCAUUUGUUCUGAACCCGCAGUGGAGGUUUAAGAAAAGAAUGUUUAGCUCCAAAUGGCCCUGCUUAUAAUAAGUUUUCUGAAUACCUUACAACUCUGCAGGUGUCGGUUUUGGUCAUUUUGAGACGUAGAAGGUAAUGAGGUCCAAGGAGUCUUGUGCAGGGAGGCCCCAGGCCCCACCAUGUUGGACACCCGUAUGGGUGAUGAAGGACCUUCUCCAGCAUCUGGGGAACAAGGCUUGUCCAUUCUCAGCCCUCUGAAGACGAAGGUCAGCUCAGUCAGGCCAUUCUUCCUGCAGGUUUUCUCAAGUUGUUGAAAAAAGAAGCAGAAAAUGAAUGGAUCCGUAUAUUUGGACUUUGAGUAUCUUAAAUUCAUUUCCUUGUCUUUUCCUGGUCUCUGCUUGUCAUUUAAGGUAAAAAUGUUCAGAAUGACCUUUCUACAUAUCACUUUGCUUUUUUCCCUAGUCUGAGAUGUCUCACGUUCUCCUGAGAUCAAACAGAAAAUCUGGGUUUAAAAUUUUCCUUGUUCUUUUGUUCCCACAAAACCCUGUCUGUACAACUGAGACCAGUUCUCUGUUUACGGAAAGUGGCAUCUGUUCAAAUGUCAUGUUAUGUAUCUUUUCCGAACAUCAUUGAGCAACUGGAGGUUCCUAAGACUGGAAAGAGCCAUGCGCCAUUAACAAGCCCCAUCCCCUGUUCCAGCAGGACUGACCUCUAAACUUUUGCUGUAAAGUUGUAGACCUUUUUUUUUAGGGGCCACACCUGUAGCAUAUGCAGGUUCCCAGGCGAGGGGGCGAUUCUGAGCUGCAGCUGCCGACCUACAUCUGAGCUGUGUCUGUGACCUACACGUCAGAUCCUUAACCUACUGAACAAGGCCAGGGAUCGAACCUGCAUCCUCAUGGAUACUGGUCGGGUUUUUAACCCACUGAGCCACACCGAGAACUCCUAGACUUAUUUUUUUAAAGAGUCUCUAGCAAGAAUUUUUUGUUUGUGUUUGUGUGGGUUUUAAAAACUGUGCCCCAGAAUCCCAUUGUUUUAAAAAUCUCAGAUCAUUUCUUAAUUUGACACCAGCAGGAGGCAGAGGAUAAGGUGUUUCUUCAGUAUCUCCUCCUGUUUCCUUCAGCUUCCACUUCUCCUUGGGCUUUUUUUCCUUCAGGCUUUAACCACCCCCUCUUAUGCCCAUAUUCACAUGCUCAGCCCUGAAUGCAGAAGGUGCCCAGAGGUCUGUAAAUCAAGGCGCUGAUCCAGAUGGCUGCAGUCUCUUUAGCUCUUGUUUUCUAUGGCUCUCUGGGCCCCCAGCCCCCGGGAGGGGCAUCCCUGGGUAACCCCAGCACUCCCUUUUUACCUGAAAAGAUGUAUUUGGUCAUGUCCUGUCUGGGUCAUGUGCUUGCUGGCCACAGGUCAAGGCCAGGGUGUUUCGUUUUUAAAAUUUGUCCAAAUAAAGAAUAUGCUUUGGAGUUCCCAUCGUGGCACAGUGGUUAACGAAUCUGACUAGGAACCGUGAGGAUGCAGGUUCGAUCCCUGGCCUUGCUUGGUGGGUUAAGGAUCCGGCGUUGCCAUGAGCUGUGGUGUAGGUCACAGAUUCGGCCUGGAUCCUGUGUUGCUGUGGCUCUGGUGUAGGCCGGCUGCAUGGCUGCGAUUAGACCCCUAGCCUGGGAACCUCCGUAUGCCGCUGGUGCGGCCCUAGAAAAGGCAAAAAGUAAAAAAAAAAAAAAAAAAAAAAAAAAAAAAGAAUAUGCUUUCUGUCAAGAGAGGCAAGGUUCUGUGUGAUUGUGUAUCAUUACUAAUAUGCUAUGGAUAUGAGGGGAAAAUAAAGCAUUUAUUUUCU